rnacentral:rRNA from 1 species
GACGAACGCUGGCGGCGUGCUUAACACAUGCAAGUCGAACGAAGUGGCGAACGGGUGAGUAAUACGUGGGUAACCUGCCCUCCUUUUUGGGAUAAGCCUUGGAAACGGGGUCUAAUACCGAAUAAAGGGGGAUGGGCUCGCGGCCUAUCAGCUUGUUGGUGGGGUGAUGGCCUACCAAGGCGGUGACGGGUAGCCGGCCUGGGAGGGUGAGCGGUCCAAUUGGGGCUGAGAGACGGGCCAGACUCCUAACGGAGGGAAGAGUUGGGGGUUAUGGAAAAAGGGCGAAAAGCUGGUGGAGCGACGGCCGGGGGGGGGUGAAAGCUUUCGGGUUGGAAACCUCUUUCGCUAUCGAAAGGGUAGGUGGAGAAGAAGCGCCGGCUAACUACGUGCCAGCAGCCGCGGUAAUAC